CAGAUGCAUCAUCAUAAUUCUUUUUUGCAAUCUAAAGAGUUUUUUUUGCAGUCAGUAGGAGAGGUGACGGCAGAGUGUAAGAAGAGACCUAUCAAGGGGUGGUGACGGAGUGUUAGAGGAGGCAAGGGGUAAGAGAGGUGGUGUUGGUCGCGAGGGACCAGUCCGGCGGGGGAGGGGAAGCAGUGGUGGCGGCCGCGAGGGACCAGUCCGACGGGAGGGGAAGCAGUGGUCGCAGCGGCGAGGGAUCGUCCGGCGGGGAGGGGAAGCUUAGUCUGGCGUUUUCACCGGCCCCUCUAGGAGCUCGAGCCGUACGAGCGCGGUCACCAUCCGCAGCAACCUACGCCUGCGCCUCCGAGCCCUGAACGGGCGGGAUGAGAUGGGACAAGGAAGGUUAGGCCGGGGCUUCACGAGCUCCUCCGCGAGCUCCAGCCGUACGAGUGGCCGCUGCGACCCAGGGAGGUAAGAGGACCAAGGGAGUGGCAGCGGUUGUACUCGGAGAGGUGGGAGAGAGCGCGCUAGCAGGUCCAGAUCGGGGAAGACCAACACUCACCUAGGUUCUCAAGUGUACUACGUCAUAGAAAAACUUUCUACUAUGUAAUAGAAGUAUUUUCUUUCCUUCAACCUCUUCAAUAAUGACUUCUCCUUAAGUCACCAUACACGAAGAGUUCUCGAUUUGACCUUGUUCUUCACGUACUGAGUACGGAUGUGAUUGAUUAGUCUGAAGGGCUUCCUCUUCUUCCUCCACGCCUUUCUCCUACCCUCGUUGUUUAGACUUAGUUUCUCCCACUCUUAAUGAAUAGCUACUGAGCCCGUAGUUGAGAACUAAAAGCCGCCUUCUGCGUCCCAGUCUUGUUGACCAGACCCGGCAGCGCGGGUCAUUUACGGUAGUUUUUAUUUAAGGGAUGGAUGUUCUUACCAUGCUUACCCUAUCAGUAGUUUAAACGACUACUCGGUCUUUGUGGUACUGAAUUCCUCAGACAACGGUUUCUCUGUCGUCUAGACGAACUAGCCGCAGUCGCAGAAAGUCAGGCGCUCGAGCGUUACUUUAAACUCUUCCCGGAGUCAUGACGGUGUAAUAAUAGAUUACUCCAAUUUACAUUUGUUCACCGAAAUAACCUCGCUCUGUAGGAAGGCUUCUUAGAUUUCUCACAUAACCUCAGUGACUCUCCAGUUCAUCGACCGUUUAUAUUCCUACUUUAACUCCUUAGCCAUAGAUACCACCUAUAAAAUCGUCAAGUCGACAGGUUUUGUCUUUUACUCAACGAAGUCGUCUUUUGGCUCCAGUGCUCUUAUCGCUGAAGUGAUUUUGACCGAAGACUUCUACGAUCCUCUUAACAACUGCUUCUUGCUUGAUUACGUACGUACCUCUAACUUUUACGAUCUCGACAACAUGUUUCUCAAGUUUUUCAUGAAUUUCUCUUUCUCUUGUCAAGUGUUUCUUAAUCUUUCGUCAACGUCGGGUGGAUUAUCCUGACGAACUAAGGCAGCUCAUACCUUUUUCGCUUUCCAUAAAAUGCCAGAGAAAACGCAAGAAGAAGACAAUGAACGUAUAAAAGACACCAUAGUAAGUUCAGUAGAUGACUACAGAAGGAACCCAAAGAGAGUUUUCGCUUUCCAUUUUUGUUGUACUAUCGUUUGCUCAUACCUUUUUCCUGUUAGUAAAAUGGAAGAUAUAAAAAUAGACGUUAAUGUAGUCUGCACGGGCAUCGAAAUCCUCCUAUACAACUAAGUAAUACGCUCUAACUACAUAGUUGGCUCGAUCGACCCAGUAGAUUAUAUUGUACGAACCAAUCAUAAAUAAUUUUACCGACUUGGUACUUACGAUCCUACAUUGUAUUUUAUUAGAAUGAACUUAAUGUUUCCCCUGCUUCUAGUUGAAAGGACACGAAUAGUAGAGUGCACCCAAACUAAUCGACGGGGUUGUAUACUAGACGGGGUUGUAAUCAAGGAUAACAUUAGGUCGUACCCGCAAGUCUUUCGUUUCUCUUCAAUUUGUAUUAGUGUUUAUCAUACUAACAGUUUAUGCGUGUAUAUUGAUUGCUGUAACAUUUAGGUGGUUUAUACAUGGUCCCUAGUGUAUACUUCUAACAACUUGUAAACACUAUAGUGUAUCUCAUGCCGCCACUUGUUAGCCGGGUAGCAGAUCUACCAAAUAUUUUGGUAGACUGAAGAAUCACGCUAUUCUACGGGCGGAGGUGCGCAACUAUUCUAGGGAUACCAGAUGGUAAAAAUGUUGUCCAUACUCUCAAUCUCUUGUUUUUUUCAUACAUGUUUAGUGAAUCUAUCUACAACUAUGUUGUAGAUACUUUGGUUGUGCCCCUUGUAGAUACUUCAGUCCAAUGAUAUUGCUAAUUAAACGUAUGAUAUCCAUAAGUCUUUUUGGGUUCUCAUCAGUCGUUUUAGUGCGAAUUUAUGAAUGGUCAGAAACUUUCCCUACCGACUAAUAGGAGAACAUUGGACCGGUAUAGGAGGAGAAAAAAGAAGGCUAUUCUAAGUGCGGAGAUACGCAACUUGACGAGGGAACAAAGCGGUUGCAAAAAAAGAAGUAAUGUAUGUCGAUGACAACGUACGACGAGCCUUCAAAAACAGUAGACGUAAUGCAAUUCGCAUUUUUGGUGUUUCGGGUAAUUCGAGUAGACCCUUUUACCUGAUUUGGAGAGGCUAGGAGAUGGCCUCUACAGCUAAACCUUCGACAUAUUCGUACGGACACUUAUGGAACUCAUAGUGGAGCAUCGAAUCAGUAUGGUAGGAAUAAUAAGAGUCUUAUGCUACCUUAGGGCAGCAAACUUCCAAGGGCGGGAUGUAGAAUCGUUAGUUGUUUUAUAUGCCAUACGUGCUCUGUAAUCGUCGUUAGAACUGUGUCAGAAUAUGGACGAGGGCAGCACAUUUAUAGCACUUAUAAACGUACAUUCCCAUACUUCAAACGUAACAUCAGAGGUUGUAAAUAGGGCGAGCAUUCCUGAUGUUGUGUAUUUUACGUAAGACGGUGAAAGUAUUUACGUGCACUCCGUUGUAAAUAUUGGUUAGAAGCGUGUCAUAAUAUGGACUAAGGCAGCACAUUUGCAAUAGUUGUUAAAGCCGAUGCCCAUACUACGAGCGUAACACAAGACGUAGUGAAGAGGGCGAACAUUCUGGACCUUCUGUAAUGCGUAUGUCAGACAGUGACAGUCUAUAAGUCCAGAGCGUUGAUUUGUUUUUGUACCAUCUGACGUAGUAUGGACAUCAAUGUAGUAGAAGACCAACUACAAGCGCACGGCACGAAAAACUUAAGGGGUAUACGUUGAUAACUUACCGUUUUUAGUACUUCUGUCUUUACCAUCAAGAAACUACUAGAAGUGGUUGUACCAUUAAAGAAGAUGUAGAAACUGUAAGACGUUCCCAAUAACAAGAUGUAUAUAUGACGUUGUACAACGAUCGUAUAUGACGUUAACAUAAAAUAAGAUGUAUAUAUGACGUUACCGUGAAAGUAGAUGUAGAAGAUGUAGAGACAUGAAAUAAUCUUACGUUCACAAAAACAAGAUAGAAAUCAAGUCGUGUUCACCUUUGUAUGAGAAUCCAGGACAUACCAAAUACAAAAGAAAAAACGGUAUAAGUGUGUUCACGUCCUACGUCCUAUGAGGAACCAUGUUUUUUUACGGUUAACGGUUGACAUUUGUACAGAUGAAAAUUGUACUUUUUUUGGAUUUGACACACGUUGUCUUUAGUUAGAGCGUCCGCCUAGGUAGGGACACUUUCGUGAACGGUACCGACAUACUGUACGCUACCUACAUACCCGACACUCUACAUACUCUACGCUAACAUACCGUAAACUCUAUAUACUCUACGCUAACUGCAUACUCUACCAAACAUAUGGAUAAAAAGCCUAGGUCCUGCACAAGACCGGCCUAGGACCUGCACAGGCGCAUAUGAGCAGAUCCUAGUCGCGGCCUAGGACCUAGUUCCCGCUCCUCAAGUCGCGCGCCGCUUCACUACCUCCCGCCGCUGCUGGACUAGGUCCUGGUCGCGGCCUAGCAGCUCCACAAGUCGCGCCGUCGCUUCACUACCUCCCGGCGCCGCUGGAACAGGUCCUAGCUGCGCCUACCUCCUGCCGCUCACUUCGCCCCCGCCGCUGGAGCUGGUGCUACCUCCCGCCGCUGCUACCUCCCGUCGCUGACUUCGCGCCGCCGCGUCCCUACAUCCCGCCGGUGCUUCCCUCUGGAGCGAACUAUUGUCCUGAGCAGCGGCAGGCGUGCCAAAAAGACAGCGACCAAUUGGCAACAUCCAAAAAAACAGCGUCCAAUUGGAAGCAUGCAGAUAACUCCCAGUGUACACCUAUCCACGCCCAAGCCCGGAGUCCUCCUCCAAAAAAACCAGACACUACCGAAUCAGUCUCCACCCUCCUCCAUGGUUUUAUUUGGUACCCUCCACCCUGAUUUUUUUUGGACCUUCGCUCUGAUGGUUGACGAGGGAAUCGGCGCCGCUGGAACAGGUCCUAGCUGCGCCUACCUCCUGCCGCUCACUUCGCCCCCGCCGCUGGAGCUGGUGCUACCUCCCGCCGCUGCUACCUCCCGUCGCUGACUUCGCGCCGCCGCGUCCCUACAUCCCGCCGGUGCUUCCCUCUGGAGCGAGCUAUUGUCCUGAGCAGCGAGGAUGCACGCAGGCGUGCCAAAAAGACAGCGACCAAUUGGCAGCAUCCAAAAAAACAGCGUCCAAUUAAAAGCAUGCAGAUAACUCACCUAUCCACGCCCAAGCCCGGAGUCCUCCUCCAAAAAAACCAAACACCACCGAAUCAGUCUCCACCCUCCUCCAUGGUUUUAUUUGGUACCCUCCACCCUGAUUUUUUUAGACUUUCGCUCUGAUGGUUGACGAGGGAAUCUCAUCUCUGAUGAGGCGUUUAGGGGAAAGGGGCGUCAGUGUAGGUGGCGAGUUUGGGAUCCUCUUAGGCAGGGCGGCUAGGUGAGGGUACCGGCGGCGGCUGGGCUUGACCUACUACGAGCUAGCAAAGCAGAAGGCGUCCCUACUGCGGCUCAGGAAGGACCUGCUCCUGCGGCGGGGGAAGUGCUAACUUCCGCUGAAGAGUGGCCUGCUGUACAAGAGGUAGCGGAAGGCGUAGCGGUUCGGAGGCCAUUGGAGGGCGUACAUGGAGUUUACCUUCACGCCGGGAUUCCGUCCGGGGCCCACGUAAGGGCACCGUCGCGUGGCACCACAAGAAGAUGAGUCCAAGUGGGGACUCGGCCCCUUCGAGCCGAAACACCUCGUGAAGAAGUAGACGUCUUCAGCCAUACUGGGCGAACUGUCGAGCGGGAAACGUGAUCUCGCUUAAGGAAAGACGCGGUGCUAUACCGUACUGCUCCUGCCCUGUCUCUAUCGAUACGCUGCUGACAAACCCCUACUGUGGCAACCGCAUAACAGGGCACUACUUCUAAAACGGUAUCGCGUCGAGCAGCAUGCGUCCGGGAACCACUUCCGACUAUUCUACCUUAGCCUAGACACACACGAGGCUAGGUUCAGUUUAUGGCUAGUAUGUACCCUCUAACUCCUCCCCGAAGGAUAGGAGAUGCUUCGCCUACUUUAGACACUGAACUUUCGAACCUCAUGGGUAUCUCAGUAGGGGAAGUUGCUUAUGAAUACGACCCAAUUGAUACCAUAUCCUCCACAGAAUAAGACGCUCCAUAAACUUCUUUCCGGGUUCUAAAGCAUGGACUCCAACGGGUAUGUAUUGGCGGCGGAUUCCGUUGCGGCACAUGAACUGUCUUUCACGUCGCACACGAACUGCUUUCCGAUGAAACCGCGGGUACUCGAUCGCAAACAACUACAACUAGCGCUCCUACCAAUGGAACAGCCGGGUGACUCGGGAUUUUGACCAAAAUGAUAACGAAUGGUACAAGAUUCCUUUUGUCCGACAUCACCGUACUUCACCCUAGACCAGAAAAAGGAGUGUAGACGACUUGACACCCUAGAGUUGUUUAGAGACGGUGCGCUUCGAGACUGUAAAGGAGUACAUUCAUACCUACUCGGAUUACACCAUGUGAAAGACAACAGAGUCGGUCACAGCGUAUUCAAACACUUCCAAAGUCACCAAAGGUAGCUGUACUAAUCUGCGUUUCACGAGAGUCAUCAAGGUAUAUAACUUCUCUUGCUAUAGGUACCUUUUCUGAGGGUCUACCAGAACCCUCGCAGGUCAAUAGAGGUCAGGAAAGAAGGGAGGCUUGAAGGCUUCAAGUAACUAGGGCGGACGUUCGUACAGAACCUAAGAGGAUGCCGACGCCGACGAAGAGCAGGAUGACGAAGUAGUGUUCACUUGUAGUUUUGACUUCUUUAUUGUCUACUAACAGGACGUAAAUUAUGAUCCUCAUCCUUUUUUUCUCAAUAGACUACAUUACCAAUUAAUCAUGAUGACGUGAUCAUAAUAGUACCGAAAUCACCUGUACAGAUACUAACACUAAACGUCACCACAUAAAACCAACCAUCAUUCACGGUUCUGCAGAACCAUACACCAUUGACCGUCCUAUAUACUCUAUGAUAUGGAAUUCGAUACGAUAACUUUACACACAAGUUACUAGAACAAUGAACUACAAUACAGGACUCUACCCCUAACAUUAAACGGACCACGAAGGAGACUCCUUUAAAUCACAAAAUACAAGGUGAAAACAGCACACCACCUGACUUUACUUGAGAUCUACGAUUUUACUUGUAAGGACUAGGUAGGUAGGGGAAGUUAAUCAUGACUUUACUUUAUUCAUUGAGUCAAUACUUCGGUAAACAAGGACUCUGAUCCCGACACCUACCAGUUCACCGUUCAGG
rnacentral:rRNA from 1 species